GACGUAGGGUGCAAGCGUUAAUCGGAAUUACUGGGCGUAAAGCGUGCGCAGGCGGUUUUGUAAGACAGAGGUGAAAUCCCCGGGCUCAACCUGGGAACUGCCUUUGUGACUGCAAGGCUUGAGUGCGGCAGAGGGGGAUGGAAUUCCGCGUGUAGCAGUGAAAUGCGUAGAUAUGCGGAGGAACACCGAUGGCGAAGGCAAUCCCCUGGGCCUGCACUGACGCUCAUGCACGAAAGCGUGGGGAGCAAACAGG
rnacentral:rRNA from 1 species